UGAGGUGACAAGUGAAUAAAUAUGAGUUGGCGAAUGAGGGGUGAACCGUAACCUUGGGAAUUGGGUAUUGUAAAUUAGUUCAUGAAAUACUCUACAAGGAGAUUUAACACGAGAUUUAUAUGAUAUGAAUAUAGGUUGAUCGAAUGAAAGUCGUAUAGAUUACUUGAGGUGACAAGUUUGGUAUCUCAACACAAGUACUAGAAUGCAGGUCACAUGGGUAAUGAUUUCUUUAACUAGAGCUUUUGAGUUGAUAAUUCGAGGUGAGACCCGCACUUGUUCGCGUGGACAACAAGUUAUUUAGUUGUUAUAAACAUUUCUUGGAAUUCUUAGAGUCGCUCCAUAGCAUUCCUUUUACUAGAAGUUAUGAGUAUUCUUUCAUAUUGUAAACUUGUGUCUAGUAUGAGACUUCUUAUGUUUGGAGUUGGAAUUAGUAUUUUUACUCUUCGAAUAGUCUAUUGAUGAAUAAAGUGGAUUAGUGAUGA